rnacentral:rRNA from 1 species
CCUACGGGAGGCAGCAGUGGGGAAUUUUGCGCAAUGCUCGUAAGAGUGACGCAGCGACGCCGCGUGAAUGACGAAGGCCUUCGGGUCGUAAAGUUCUUUCGACAGGGAAGAAAAUGCCUAUAAGUAACUGUGUAUGUAUUGACGGUACCUGUAUAAGCAGCCCCGGCUAACUCCGUGCCAGCAGCCGCGGUAAUACGGGGGGGGCGAGCGUUGUUCGGGGUGACUGGGCGUAAGGAGAACGUAGGCGGUGUUGUAAGUCAUUAGUAAAGACUAGAGCUCAACUUUAGUAAAGCUAGGGAUACUAUAAUACGAGAGGAUCAGAGAGGAUUGCAGAAUUGCUGGGGUAGCGGUGAAAGGCGGAGAUAUCAGGAGGAAUACAGUGAGCGAAGGCGGCAAUCUGGCUGGAAACUGACGCUGAGGUGCGAAAGCGUGGGUAGCAAACAGGAUUAGAUACCCGGGUAGUC